rnacentral:rRNA from 1 species
GACGAACGCUGGCGGCGUGCCUAAUACAUGCAAGUAGAACGCUGAAGCUUGGUGCUUGCACCGAGCGGAUGAGUUGCGAACGGGUGAGUAACGCGUAGGUAACCUGCCUCUUAGCGGGGGAUAACUAUUGGAAACGAUAGCUAAUACCGCAUAAAAGUCAAUAUCGCAUGAUAUUGAUUUGAAAGGUGCAAAUGCAUCACUAAGAGAUGGACCUGCGUUGUAUUAGCUAGUUGGUGAGGUAACGGCUCACCAAGGCGACGAUACAUAGCCGACCUGAGAGGGUGAUCGGCCACACUGGGACUGAGACACGGCCCAGACUCCUACGGGAGGCAGCAGUAGGGAAUCUUCGGCAAUGGGGGCAACCCUGACCGAGCAACGCCGCGUGAGUGAAGAAGGUUUUCGGAUCGUAAAGCUCUGUUGUAAGAGAAGAACGAGUGUGAGAGUGGAAAGUUCACGCUGUGACGGUAUCUUACCAGAAAGGGACGGCUAACUACGUGCCAGCAGCCGCGGUAAUACGUAGGUCCCGAGCGUUAUCCGGAUUUAUUGGGCGUAAAGCGAGCGCAGGCGGUUAGAUAAGUCUGAAGUUAAAGGCUGUGGCUUAACCAUAGUACGCUUUGGAAACUGUUUAACUUGAGUGCAGAAGGGGAGAGUGGAAUUCCAUGUGUAGCGGUGAAAUGCGUAGAUAUAUGGAGGAACACCGGUGGCGAAAGCGGCUCUCUGGUCUGUAACUGACGCUGAGGCUCGAAAGCGUGGGGAGCAAACAGG